GGAUGCUGAGCGCGACGAAGGCGGCCGGCCAUGUAGCCACGGCUGAAGGAGACGAGCUCCUCGCCUGACGACCGGCAGCAGCAGUCCCGGCCGCCGCUGCAGAUCCGCCUCCUCUCUACCUUCUCGCAUCAGCCGUCUCUCUUAUUUACUGAGGCUUCUAAAUUAAUUCUUAUUUUCAGAUUCAAAUUUUUUGGGUUUCACGCGCCAUCUUUUCAGCCCCUCACGUGUACUACUGUUUUUAUUGAAAGAUCCUCAUAUUUCAUUUCCAUCUUUUCAGAUCCUUACAGCUACCAAAUUUAGGGUGAUAGGUUAACUGUCAAUUUUUACUCUUGAACAAAAUGUUAUAGUGACUGUUGUGAUGAUCUUUUCUUCAAUUUUUUUGGUGAUCACAUUUUUUUGCCCCUCACGAGUUCUGCUGCUUUUACUGGCCAGUUCUUUUUGGCAGCUUAAAAAAUAAGCCGCCUCCUCCUAGCUUCUCGCAUAAUCUGUCUCUCUUAUUUAUUGAGACUUCUAAACUAGUUCUUAUUUUCAGAUUCAAAAUUUUCGGAUUUCACGCGCCAUCUUUUCGGCCCCUCACGUAUACUACUGUUUUUAUUGAAUGGUCCUCAUAUUUUCAUUUCCAUCUUUUCAGCAGGCCCGAGCCCAUGGGGGUGCAGCCUGUGCAGGCGCACAGGGCCCCCCGUUUUCAGGGGCCCCAAAUUUAUACGCAGCAGUACUACUUCUCUCCAUAGACGGGCCACUUAAAUUUGGAUCUGGGCCGAUAUUGCCUCGCGUCCGGCGGCUCUCGCACGAGUGAAGAGCGAAGCAACGAGGCGUCCCUUCGUCUUUUCUUAUGGCGCUGGCGGCCAUGGACGCGGCAGGAGUCAGGAACAUAAGGGCAAGACCAGGAAGGAAGGCAGGAACGGCCAAACUGCAGCCGGCAGGAACGGCCUGAUUCACCUGAAGGCAAGGAAAGUUUAGGCCAUCACCCGAUCUCUGAAUUUUUAAGCGUCGCCGCAUCAAGAACCGGUGCGGUGAUGAGGAACGGGCAAGGCUUAAGAAGAACCUGGACAGGAUUGAGCUUGUAUGCAAUGUCCUCACCUUGAUUUCCAUCCCGGUGAUAGUCGUGGGGAUCCUUAACAUCAUGUCGUAGGGGCCGGUAUCAGCCUCGGUCUUUUAGCAAUUUAAGGAUGCUUUAAGCCCUCAUACUUGUGAAUUUGCGAGACUAUUACGCUGUUUUGGCUCUGUGUAACCUCAGUAGACCUACUUAAUUGCUAUGCUAAGCACCUGCUGCACACCUAAUUUAUGGACGGGAAGUUUACUGCUAAGGGGCGAGCCCUUCCUUUGUUGAAUAUAUCUGCUGUGCUGC